ensembl:snoRNA SNORA74 Small nucleolar RNA SNORA74
CCCAGCUGUAGGCAACUGUCUAGGCUGCCUUGUACCUAGGCAAGUGUUACACUGCUGGGAGAAAAGAGGCCAGUAGCUGGCAGCCACUCUGGGCCUGCUUAAUGCCAUCUUUGUGUUAACUAU